GGCCCCUUGCCUUCGCAGGGCCGCCGCGAGGAUGCUCGGAGGGUCCGCCGCCGGGUCUGGGGAACCCAGCCUUCCAUGCCAAUCUACCACUAGCUGGAGCUGCCCCAGCCCCGCUGGUCAGGGGACCCUGGGUGAGGGCCAACUUUCCGGUUAGCAUCACCUGGGGGAGCAGGAGCGAGAGUAGGCCUCAAAAAUGACGUAAAAAGGCGCAGGCGACUUCUGUGUGCACUGUUGGGAGAGCUGUGAUUUAUCUAUCAGUGGGCUUUCCCUGCUCUCUGGCUGGUUCUCAGGGCUGGACCUCGCUCCCCGCCACCCCUCCAAUCCCCCCAGGAUUCAGUGGUCUCCUGCUGCUAUCAGAAGUGGCAUCUCAGGCCUGCCACUUGCUUUUGGAGUUGGAUGCAGAAGUGUGAUCCUGACUCUUAGCCCCUUGGAAGGCCCAGGUGAUUCCUGUGCCCCGACAAGAUUGAGAGGCGCUGCUUCAAGAGAUUACAGCUGAAUAGGAAAAGAAAAGAAAAAGUCGGAAAAUGAUAGCAGUGAAAUGUAAGAGAAAAGUGGGGGAAAAGUAGUUCAGGAGGAGCACAGAGCCCUUGCUUCCCAUUUGUGUACACCUCUGCUCUGUGGGUACACCCCAUCUCUUCCAGCUGCCAACACACACACACACACACACACACACACACACACACACACACGGAUGAGACAGAUGAGAGGCAGAGAAAGCACUCCAUUUACCCUCACGUGUUUAGUUUUCUUUAGAAGAUGCUGUUCAAAAAAUUGCUCAGGUGAAUCUCGACGCCAAAGUGGCACCUUCGCUACUGACUUCUCUCCCAGUGACUCUUUCAUCAGCUGUCGCGUCGCUGUCGCUGGAUUUUCACUUUAGGACCUGAACGCAGAGCUUACUUACUUCCCUACUGUAGAUGACACUUUUCUCUGAGGCCUCACUCAUUUCUGGAACAAUUUAUGUCGAGGAUCAAGACCAUCUCUCCAGGGUUGUUUCUUUGCCUGAAGAUAAGAGGACACAAGUGGGUGACCUUCACAUUUUUUCUCUAUGGAAUCGCCUGGUGCAGGUAGAAAAACCCAACUGCAAAAACCCAACAAAGCACACUUAAAUCAGCAAAAUGGCCAGGGACUCUGAAAUCAGUAAAUUAUAAAAUUUGAUCAAUAAGUUCUAAGAAUCAAUAACCCCUGGGUUGGCCACAAACGCUACAGACUUUAGAGAUGUAACCAUUAUUCCCCCCCCCCUUUUUUUUUUUUUUUUGAAAACGAAAUCCAAGGUUAGUCGCUGCAGAGUACAAUGAAUGUAAAAUUCAUGAUAGCGUUUUCAUUAUAUGUGGAAGAAGUGAUUAAUGAGUUCUUUAUAAUAAGAAACGGGUUUCACGGAAUAAAUCAUCUGGAAUUCUUAAGGUGCAGAGCGGGCAACAUUCAUUCGUCCCAGGAUUGAAACAGAGCUUUGGGUAUACUAAGCUGGCAUUUUAUAACUGAGCUACCCAACCUCUAAGGACAUGUCUCAUAGCACGUGUGUAUGCUUGCAUGUACAGUUCAUCAUGGGGGCCUUCAAACAGCAGGUA